rnacentral:rRNA from 1 species
GAUGAACGCUGGCGGCGUGCUUAACACAUGCAAGUCGAACGAACCUUUCGGGGUUAGUGGCGGACGUGUGAGUAACGCGUGAGGAUCUGCCCUUAGGCGGGGGACAACUUUUGGAAACGGAAGCUAAUACCCCAUAUGUCGAGAGAUGAAAGCUUAAUCUGCCUGAGGAUGAGCUCGCGUCUGAUUAGCUAGUUGGUGGGGUAAGAGCUUACCAAGGCGACGAUCAGUAGCUGUUCUGAGAGGAAGAUCAGCCACACUGGGACUGAGACACGGCCCAGACUCCUACGGGAGGCAGCAGUGGGGAAUUUUCCGCAAUGGGCGCAAGCCUGACGGAGCAACGCCGCGUGAGGGAGGAAUGUCUGUGGAUUGUAAACCUCUUUUCUC